GAUGAACGCUGGCGGCGUGCCUAAUACAUGCAAGUCGAACGCACAGCGAAAGGUGCUUGCACCUUUCAAGUGAGUGGCGAACGGGUGAGUAACACGUGGACAACCUGCCUCAAGGCUGGGGAUAACAUUUGGAAACAGAUGCUAAUACCGAAUAAAACUUAGUGUCGCAUGACACAAAGUUAAAAGGCGCUUUUGCGUCACCUAGAGAUGGAUCCGCGGUGCAUUAGUUAGUUGGUGGGGUAAAGGCCUACCAAGACAAUGAUGCAUAGCCGAGUUGAGAGACUGAUCGGCCACAUUGGGACUGAGACACGGCCCAAACUCCUACGGGAGGCUGCAGUAGGGAAUCUUCCACAAUGGGCGAAAGCCUGAUGGAGCAACGCCGCGUGUGUGAUGAAGGCUUUCGGGUCGUAAAGCACUGUUGUAUGGGAAGAACAGCUAGAAUAGGGAAUGAUUUUAGUUUGACGGUACCAUACCAGAAAGGGACGGCUAAAUACGUGCCAGCAGCCGCGGUAA
rnacentral:rRNA from 1 species